rnacentral:siRNA from 1 species
UGAUCAAAAGGUCUAUAGAUC